rfam:Camelus ferus unplaced genomic scaffold scaffold2363, whole genome shotgun sequence.
GGAUAUAUAGCUCAAGUGUAGAGCACAUGCUUAGCAUGCAUGAGGUCCUGGGUUCAAUCCCUGGUACCUCCU